UAGACCGCCUGGGGAGUACGGCCGCAAGGUUAAAACUCAAAUGAAUUGACGGGGGCCCGCACAAGCGGUGGAGCAUGUGGUUUAAUUCGAUGCAACGCGAAGAACCUUACCUGGUCUUGACAUCCACGGAACUUUCCAGAGAUGGAAUGGUGCCUUCGGGAACCGUGAGACAGGUGCUGCAUGGCUGUCGUCAGCUCGUGUUGUGAAAUGUUGGGUUAAGUCCCGCAACGAGCGCAACCCUUAUCCUUUGUUGCCAGCGGUUAGGCCGGGAACUCAAAGGAGACUGCCAGUGAUAAACUGGAGGAAGGUGGGGAUGACGUCAAGUCAUCAUGGCCCUUACGACCAGGGCUACACACGUGCUACAAUGGCGCAUACAAAGAGAAGCGACCUCGC
rnacentral:rRNA from 1 species